UUUCCGUAGGUGAACCUGCGGAAGGAUCAUUAUUGCAUAACCGAGGUGCGAGGGCUGUCGCUGACCCGAAAGGUCGUGCACGCCCGAGUGCCCUCACACACAUCCAUCUCACCCCUAUGUGCACCACCGCGUGGGUCCCCCUUUGGCUUGUUCGGAGGGGGGCUUACGCUUUCACACAAACUUUGUAUGCAGUGUAGAAUGUAUUUUUUGUUUUUGCGAUCACGCAAUCAAUACAACUUUCAACAACGGAUCUCUUGGCUCUC
rnacentral:misc_RNA from 1 species